rnacentral:rRNA from 1 species
GUUGCCACGCCCGCUCAAGAAACUUAAGAAUUGACGGGGCCCGCACAAGCGGAGGAGCAUGUGGUUUAAUUCGAUGAUACGCGAGGAACCUUACCUGGGCUCGAACGUAAGAUGACUGUAGGUGAAAGCUUACAUCUCUUCGGAGCAUUUUUACGAGGUGCUGCAUGGUUGUCGUCAGCUCGUGCCGUGAGGUGUCGGGUUAAGUCCCAUAACGAGCGCAACCCUACCUUUAGUUGCCAUCAGGUAAUGCUGGGGACUCUAAAGGAACUGCCUACGCAAGUAGUGAGGAAGGCGGGGAUGACGUCAAAUCAGCACGGCCCUUACGUCCAGGGCUACACACGUGCUACAAUGGCCGAUACAGAGGGCAGCUACCUGGUGACAGGAUGCAAAUCUCCAAAGUCGGUCUCAGUUCGGAUCGGAGUCUGCAACCCGACUCCGUGAAGUUGGAUUCGCUAGUAAUCGCGCAUCAGCCAUGGCGCGGCGAAUACGUUCCCGGGCCUU